CCUACGGGAGGCAGCAGUGGGGAAUAUUGGGCAAUGGGCGCAAGCCUGACCCAGCAACGCCGCGUGAAGGAAGAAGGCUUUCGGGUCGUAAACUUCUUUUAAGAGGGAAGAGCAGAAGACGGUACCUCUUGAAUAAGCCACGGCUAACUACGUGCCAGCCGCCGCGGUAAUACGUAGGUGGCACGCGUUGUCCGGAUUUACUGGGUGUAAAGGGCGUGCAGCCGGGAAGAAAAGUCAGAUGUGAAAUCCCGCGGCUCAACCGCGGAACUGCCUUUGAAACUGUUUGUCUUGAGUAUAGGAGAGGUCAGCGGAAUGCAUGGUGUAGCGGUGAAAUGCGUAGAGAUAAGGAAGAACACCAGUGGCGAAGGCGGAUGACUGGGCGGCAACUGACGGUGAGGCGCGAAAGCGUGGGGAGCAAACAGGAUUAGAUACCCGUGUAGUC
rnacentral:rRNA from 1 species